UUUUUUUUUUUUUUUUUUUUGUCACCCAGGUUGGAGUGCAGUGGCACGAUCUCGGCUCACUGCAACUGCCGCCUCGCUGGUUAGAGUGAUUCUCCUGCCUCAGCCUUCCGAGUAUCUGGGAUUACAGGUGUGCACCACCACGCCUGGCUAAUGUUUUAUAUUUUUAGUAGAGAUGGGGUUUCACCAUGUUGGCCAGGCUUGUCUCGAACUUCUGACCUGUAGUGAUCUGCCCGCCUUGGCCUCCCACGGUGCUGGGAUUACAGGUGUGAGCCACCGCGCUGUGCCAGGGGUUAUUGUUUUGAAGUGCUACAAAACCAGACUAGAGAUUUAUUGACCUAUCGCUUGAAAAUACUUAUUAAAAAAAAAAAAAAGGCUGGUCUGUAACCCCAGCACUUCAGGAAGAUGAGGUGGGAGGAUUGCUCAAGUUCAGGAGUUCGAGACCAGCCUGGGUAACAUGGCAAAACCCUGUCUCUACUUAAAAAAAGACAAAAAAGUAGCUGGGCAUAGUGGUGUGCGCGUGUAGUCCCAGCUACUUGGGAGGCUGAGGUAGGAGGAUCGCCUGAGUCUGGCAGGUAGAGGCUGCAGUGAGCCGAGAUCACACCACUGCAUUCUAGCCUCAGCCGAGAUCACACCACUGCACUCCAGCCUCAGCCGAGAUCACACCACUGCAUUCUAGCCUCAGCCGAGUUCACACCACUGCACUCCAGCCUCAGCCGAGAUCACACCACUGCACUCAAGCCUGAGCAACUGCAGAGAGGCCCCAUCUCACAAAAAGGCAGACACCGAGAAGAUAUGGGACCUGGUGUCUGAUGUGUCCUAGUGUCUGAUGUGGUCCUGGGCGAGAGGAACCCACUGUGCUAUUCAUCACUGGCCCCACGUCCUCACUGGAGGUGGCCAUGGAGUUAUAAACAGCGCAAUACCUCAUUUCAGAUUUCCUCAGCUUGUCAUAGAGAAAUAAAGCCACAGUUUAGUCAGCUGUA